AAAUUGAAGAGUUUGAUCAUGGCUCAGAUUGAACGCUGGCGGCAGGCCUAACACAUGCAAGUCGAACGGUAACAGGAAACAGCUUGCUGUUUCGCUGACGAGUGGCGGACGGGUGAGUAAUGUCUGGGAAACUGCCUGAUGGAGGGGGAUAACUACUGGAAACGGUAGCUAAUACCGCAUAACGUCGCAAGACCAAAGAGGGGGACCUUCGGGCCUCUUGCCAUCGGAUGUGCCCAGAUGGGAUUAGCUAGUAGGUGGGGUAACGGCUCACCUAGGCGACGAUCCCUAGCUGGUCUGAGAGGAUGACCAGCCACACUGGAACUGAGACACGGUCCAGACUCCUACGGGAGGCAGCAGUGGGGAAUAUUGCACAAUGGGCGCAAGCCUGAUGCAGCCAUGCCGCGUGUAUGAAGAAGGCCUUCGGGUUGUAAAGUACUUUCAGCGGGGAGGAAGGGAGUAAAGUUAAUACCUUUGCUCAUUGACGUUACCCGCAGAAGAAGCACCGGCUAACUCCGUGCCAGCAGCCGCGGUAAUACGGAGGGUGCAAGCGUUAAUCGGAAUUACUGGGCGUAAAGCGCACGCAGGCGGUUUGUUAAGUCAGAUGUGAAAUCCCCGGGCUCAACCUGGGAACUGCAUCUGAUACUGGCAAGCUUGAGUCUCGUAGAGGGGGGGUAGAAUUCCGGUGUAGCGGUGAAAUGCGUAGAGAUCUGGAGGAAUACCGGUGGCGAAGGCGGCCCCCUGGACGAAGACUGACGCUCAGGUGCGAAAGCGUGGGGAGCAAACAGGAUUAGAUACCCUGGUAGUCCACGCCGUAAACGAUGUCGACUUGGAGGUUGUGCCCUUGAGGCGUGGCUUCCGGAGCUAACGCGUUAAGUCGACCGCCUGGGGAGUACGGCCGCAAGGUUAAAACUCAAAUGAAUUGACGGGGGCCCGCACAAGCGGUGGAGCAUGUGGUUUAAUUCGAUGCAACGCGAAGAACCUUACCUGGUCUUGACAUCCACGGAAGUUUUCAGAGAUGAGAAUGUGCCUUCGGGAACCGUGAGACAGGUGCUGCAUGGCUGUCGUCAGCUCGUGUUGUGAAAUGUUGGGUUAAGUCCCGCAACGAGCGCAACCCUUAUCCUUUGUUGCCAGCGGUCCGGCCGGGAACUCAAAGGAGACUGCCAGUGAUAAACUGGAGGAAGGUGGGGAUGACGUCAAGUCAUCAUGGCCCUUACGACCAGGGCUACACACGUGCUACAAUGGCGCAUACAAAGAGAAGCGACCUCGCGAGAGCAAGCGGACCUCAUAAAGUGCGUCGUAGUCCGGAUUGAGUCUGCAACUCGACUCCAUGAAGUCGGAAUCGCUAGUAAUCGUGGAUCAGAAUGCCACGGUGAAUACGUUCCCGGGCCUUGUACACACCGCCCGUCACACCAUGGGAGUGGGUUGCAAAAGAAGUAGGUAGCUUAACCUUCGGGAGGGCGCUUACCACUUUGUGAUUCAUGACUGGGGUGAAGUCGUAACAAGGUAACCGUAGGGGAACCUGCGGUUGGAUCACCUCCUUA
rnacentral:rRNA from 1 species